rnacentral:tRNA from 1 species
GCAGGGAAGAGCAAAUGGUAGGCUCGUCAGGCUCAUAAUCUGGAGGUUGUAGGUUCGAUUCCUAUCCCUGCU